rnacentral:lncRNA from 1 species
CAAAUAUUUACAACGCUUCUCUGAAUCUAUACAGCAAUUUACUGAAUAUUUCGUAGUAAGAUAAAAAUCCAGGGUUCACAUUAUGAGGUUUAUAUACAAAUAUAACAUUUGCAAAGCGUUGCUCCAAGACUCGACUCGAGAAAUAACGAUCAACUCUAUAGAUAAUAGGAAAAUAAAAUUAGUGUAUAGUGAGUAUUACACGAUAAUCACGACAUAUUAAUUUCUUCAACAUCUAACCAGUCUGGAGAGUCUUUAUCAGAAUUGUAAUUUUUUUUUCUGAAAUUAGCAGGCAUAUCUCCAUCAUCUUCUUCAAGAUCACUAAAUGACACGUCAUCCUCGUUCUCAACUGGGAUGUUGGUUCCACCGGCACCACCAGUUUCAGAACUUUCUUCUUUCAACCAGUCAUCACUAUCAUCCUCAUCCUUCAUUUCCAAAACAUUAGAGGGAUCAGAGUUCAACUUUUGAUCCUUGACUUGGUCAACCACCUCUUCUUCAAUCAUCGCUUUGUCAAUAAUUGGGAUUUCAGUGUUCUCGACUGCGUGCUUCACUAUUUCAGAAGCAGCUGUAGCAGUGGAAGUGCUUAAUUCAAGGGCAGAUGAUUUUUCAGGCUCAUUUUCAGAAGGAAUAGUAGAUGAUGCAUAAAGGGAGUCUUCAUGAGAAGAUGCGGUGGCAUCUUUUGGAUCGGAAGAUACUUUUCCAGGGAAGUCUUCUAGCGUUGUUGGUGUCUGGUUCUUUGACUCCUGUGCAAGCAAGGCUCUGGCUUUUAUUAUCUGCUUGUCAUGACAGUAAUGGAGGUCAACAACCUUGUCACUCAAGGAGAAAGAAAAAACCGCACAAGUUUUAGCAGCAAGUUCAUUGACAAGCCAUUUAUCCUUGUUUUGGGGGGGGGGGGGGGGGGGGGGGGAACANNNNNNNNNNNNNNNNNNNNNNNNNNNNNNNUGUUUUUUUUUUUUUCUUUUUUUUUUUUUUUUUGGUGGGGGGGGGGGGGUUGAGUUAAUACAAAAUUAAGCUAAAAUUGGUCCACUUAUGCACUAAAUAAUCGUGAAGUCAAGAAACUAUAGAAAUUAUUCAGAUAGAUGUAUUUUUUAAUUGAGGUUCAGAAAUGCACUAGAUUAUCAUAGACAAAGCAGAAGGAAUGACGAUAAAGUGAGCUCUGUGCUCUAUUCAUAUGUAUAAACUAUAGAAAUUAUUCAGAUAGAUGUAUUUUUUAAUUGAGGUUCAGAAAUGCACUAGAUUAUCAUAGACAAAGCAGAAGGAAUGACGAUAAAGUGAGCUCUGUGCUCUAUUCAUAUGUAUCUACUUUUCUAGCGAUACUAAAAUGACAAUGUAACAUACCAAAUUCACUUAUAGAAAAGCACAAUACUUGUGAUCAAAGACAAUUAACUCAGACAAAAAUGUUUACCAACUGUAAUCUAAUAAAAUGACAAAUAUUAGAAGCAAUGCACGCCAUAGUCCUUUUCUAACCAGCUCCAACAUAAAUUAACUUUUAAUUGAAUACGCAAUAUGCAAGAAGAAGAAGAGACCUGAGAUGUUGAUAAUAUUUCAGCAUCCUCUUUAUCCAGUCGAGGGUGCAGGAGUACAAAAUAGAUCUUCCAGAAGCAACUUUCACUCAUGUAUCCUGGGCAAAGCUCAAACCUCAAAGCAGAUAAUCUUGGGGCAAGAUGCUCAACAGCUAAGGCGUGUUCUUGUUGGGCAUCAGACAUGUCAAAAUCUAAUAUCAAGAAAAAAAGGAAAAAACAAAUCAACAUUCUGUCAUAUUGAAUUCCCAUUUCCUGAAUUAAUAAUAAUUUUCUUCCAUAUCGUCAUUCAAAAUACUUUUGGAGUUGACAAAAGUCUUGAGCAUUGAAGUAUGCUAACGACAGGUUCUCUCUACCAAAAGAUGCAUAACUGGCUCUUUUGAGCAAUUUGCAUUCCAUGACUAGCUAAGUAUAUGAGAGAUUCUUAGGUUAACAACAUAAUACUUCGAUAAAUAUUUAAUAACAGAUAGAAUAAAAUAACAAAAUGAAUGAAAGAGUAAGGGGGCAUAGCACUAUACCAAAGAAGUGGAACUAAACCAUGAAUCCAUGGUCUUACUACACAAUUAUACAAGUCUUUUCAUCUCCAAUAAAUCAUAGAAGUUUCUUACUAUGUCCAUUUAUUCAAAUAUAUUCCACUUUACAUUUAUUGAUUUCCUAGUACAAUGUCUAAGAAAAUCUGCCUUAAAUUCAUUAAGCAUUUAUUUGAAAGAUGAUGCCAUCAUUGAAAGAUCAUCAAUUUGCUCCGCAAUAAAAUUAAUCCAAUUAAUCAGCACACUGUCAACUAGUAGAUAAACACUCCUUAGUUACUAAUCUGCACUUCACUAACCCCCUGAAAUUUCUAUAUAUAUACAAUUAUCAUACCAUCAUCAUCACUGUCACUUUCGGGCAAUGGGAAAUCCAACCAAGUUUUGGGAUGCAUCGCAAUAUCCCUCGCGAAAGCCACCACUUCCUCAGUCACACCAACUACCUUUUUACUCGCCGAAUCAAAAUCCUCUGUAUUGCCUGUCCAAGAUAAAAUUUAAAUGAAUAUAUGUGCAUUUCUCUAACACCUUGUGCUUGUAGAUGAAAUGAUUUGCAUUGAAUACCUUCCUUACCGAUUUCAUCAUCAGAUUCCAACUGUAGGAAAUUCGAGGCCAUUUUGGUAAUUUCCGUCACGUUGAUGUUAUUCGACAGCUUCGAAAUUCCGCUCCUGAACCUUCCCCCGAUCUCAGCUAAGUCAGUACGGAUGCCCGAUUCACCAUCCGGGUCGGGCUCCUGAUUCUGUUCCGAGUUGUUCGGAUCGAGCUGUGGCGGUGGGGCUAGAAAUGAGGCUACACCCCAGAACUGGUUCUUGAGGGUUUUGGUCAGUUCCGAGAGGUCUUCUUUGACGCCGCGCGACGGCGAGGUUGGAGAUGAAACAUCGUUGUCUUGGAGGAGGUUUUCCUGUUCGGGUUUGAUGCCCUUGAUGGCGUCAUCUUCCUCAUCGUCGAAUUUGAGCGUAUUAUUGAUUGAUCGGGCAAACCAAGACAUUGUAACUUGGAUCGAGUUCGGUUUCGGAUCGCCGGCGAUCCACUGUGCGGACUGGGGACGGAUCUCCUUGAACCUGUAUGGUGAACAUCAACACUGGAAAAGCAUUAAGGGAUCAGGAGACUCGUUAAACGACACAGUUUAGAAUAUGCUGUCAAAUGUGUAUUUCUCACUUCACCCCUCUAAUUUUCAAUUGUGUCAUACAAACCCUUAUAUUAUUCUUUUGUCGCAAAUGGGUCGGGGUGAGAGAGCAGUUGGCACAUUCUAUGUAAAAGAUACUUCGGGAGAAAAUGCUGAUCCAGAAACACUUGAAAAGGUGAGACGAGAAAUCGGAAGUGCUGUUGUAGUGGUAAACAAAUCUUCGAGCUCCCCUUCGCGAGCAACAUCCAGAACAUGUAAAAGCAACAGCAGCGAAGUACAAGAAAGGUCGAGGUUUUCCCUGGGAAGCCUGUUGUGGUCGCACCUAGAGGGAAUUUUGAGCAAUUUCAGACCCAUAAAAUCCUAAAGUUGUUAUAUAUGGAAUAAGGGCUGCAUUUACCUGUAAAUACCAAUUAGCACGUGUGAAUUAGUUUCUCAUUCAUCUGUAAAUAAUAAGAGCCAGCAGCAGCCCCUACAGGAAAUGAGAGUUUAAAUAAAACAAUAAAACAAUGCAUGUGUCUAUCUGCUUUGUUUUCCCUUCAAGAAAAAGCAGUACCAGAGUCCCAAAAAUUCUCUUUUUUGGGCAAAGAUUUAUUCUUUGCAUUUGCAGAAGUUCGUGACAAAGUAUUUUGCAAAACAAUAGUCCAAGAAAACGUAAAUUCAUCACUUCAAAAUGAUUAUUCUAUCAGCAUGGGAGUGCUCGAAUUGCAUAUGGGCACACGAGGCAUUAUCGAGUUAAAAUCCGUCUGGAUAUUGCCAAAUAUUUACAACGCUUCUCUGAAUCUAUACAGCAAUUUACUGAAUAUUUCGUAGUAAGAUAAAAAUCCAGGGUUCACAUUAUGAGGUUUAUAUACAAAUAUAACAUUUGCAAAGCGUUGCUCCAAGACUCGACUCGAGAAAUAACGAUCAACUCUAUAGAUAAUAGGAAAAUAAAAUUAGUGUAUAGUGAGUAUUACACGAUAAUCACGACAUAUUAAUUUCUUCAACAUCUAA